AGAGUCUCGGGGCUGCGCUGCCUUUGCUGCGGACCCCUGGAUCCUAAGCCUGCGGCGCUGGAGCUGAUGGGACUGAAUCACGGACGGACACGCAGAUUUCUUCACACCCUAAGCUCCGCUGCGGUUGUCCCCUGGAGGCCCGCGCCCGGGUCACUGAGAUGGCUUCGGGCGCCCGGCGAGGGAGAGCCAAUGAGGCAGCUUGUUAGCACUCAGUAUGUGCCCAGCUCUGAAUGGAAUUACUGAUAUGGACAAUGGUACCUCAGGGUGAUGAGGCCCUCAAGAAGAAUGAAAGAUAUAAACCAAACACUGAAGAAAGGAAGCCACAGUGUGGCCCAAAACUAACAAGUUGUUGUACAGCUUACAACCAUCUACCACUCACCUGCUCAUCGGGACCUCAAGCAUCCUUGGCAGCCCCGUGGGAGGUGUGAAUAAAGGCGUCUUCGGAGAAGUGCAAAUAUGUUUUCAUCGUCACACAGGACCUAAGCUGAUCCAAUGGAGGAGACAUACUUCUGGGUGUGUCUGUGAGGAUGUUCCAGAGAGGUUUAACUGGGUAUGGAAGGUGUGCUCCGAAUAUGGGUGGCACCAUUCCAUAAACUAGUGUCCUAGACUGGAUGAAAAGGAAGAAGGAGGAAGCUGCCUGAGCCAUCGUUCGUCUCUGUUGUCUGAAUAUGUGAGCAGUGGCCUCAUUCCUCCCCAUAUAUUUUCUGAUGUGACAGACUGUGUCCCUCCAAACUGAGAGCCACACAAUAGCCUGUAUCCCUUCAAACUGUGAGCCAUGUAACAGAUUGUAUCCCUUCAAACUGUGAGCCAUGUGACAGAUUGUAUUCCUUCAAACUG
rnacentral:lncRNA from 1 species